AUUGAACGCUGGCGGCAUGCCUAACACAUGCAAGUCGAACGGCAGCAUAUUCUAGCUUGCUAGAAUGAUGGCGAGUGGCGAACGGGUGAGUAACGCGUAGGGAUUUACCUUAGAGAGGGGGAUAACUCGGGGAAACUCGAGCUAAUACCGCGUGUACUGGUGACAGUAAAGCUGGGGACCUUUUUAGGCCUGGCGCUCUAAGAGAAACCUGCGUCCGAUUAGCUUGUUGGUGAGGUAAAGGCUCACCAAGGCUGCGAUCGGUAGCUGUUCUGAGAGGAAGAUCAGCCACACUGGGACUGAGACACGGCCCAGACUCCUACGGGAGGCAGCAGUGGGGAAUAUUGGACAAUGGGGGCAACCCUGAUCCAGCAAUGCCGCGUGUGUGAAGAAGGCCUGCGGGUUGUAAAGCUCUGUCCUCAAGGAAGAUAAUGACGGUACUUGAGGAGGAAGCCCCGGCUAACUACGUG
rnacentral:rRNA from 1 species